GAAGUUCCCUAAACUCUUUCCUAAGAUUAAACUCCUUUGACCUUAAUUCCCUUUAAGGAAGAAGGCAGGGGAAGAACGCUGGCUUCGUUUUCUAAAUGAGGAUUCUGCUGCUCAGGCAGGCUAGAAGAUUCCCCAGGCUCGUGUGGCUGGUGGACACCCAGAGUGCUGCUGCUAGAACCCAGGAUGUCUGUUCUGUCUCCAACACGUAAGGGCCAGAGGCCUUGCAGAGAAAACCUUGUUGAACCCACUUGCCUCAGACACAAGGAAGCCAAGGUCAAAUCGGAACGUCUGAUGGACCCAGAGCCCUCCCAAGAGUCAGCUCUCAGCCCAGAACUUUCUCUGCGACCCAGGGCCUGUUUUGAGCAUUUAUCCUCUCUGACUGGAUCCCCCACGAGAGACUUAACUCAAGGAUUCCUGGACGGACUCACCUCCCUCCGCCCGCUCUCCCUGCCCGCCAGGGACCUGGAGAGGCACGAAGCAGGGAGAGGUCACAGCCACGGGCAGGUCAAGGUGGGUGUGCCCACCCCUGGAGAGGCAGAAGCCUGUGACUCCCCUGAAAACCUGAACGGCUUCUCCUAGUCCCUGGUACCCAAAAUGAGCAGACAGCUCUGCACACGGGGGCUCCCAGUGCCAGAGAGAUACACCUGCCCUGCAGCCCGGGAGAGGGGACAGGCCUCCAGCUCC
rnacentral:lncRNA from 1 species